UGUUUUAUCCUUUGGAACAGUACGUCCUGCCUGAAAGAACACUUUAGAACCUAAGAGCUCCAGUACCACCGGCUCCAAGCAACUCCGCGGCACCUGACGGACCUCAGGCGGGCAGCCCCUUAUCCCAGAGAGGACCGGUUUUGAGAAAUCCCCCAGUUGCGGGACGAAAACGGAUCUGGAGAAGUCAAGUUGAACCCCAGCGGCGACAGAGACAACCCAGCAACAGCAGCAGCAGCGGCUCAGAGUCAGAGAGUGCAUAAUUAAGCUACACGCAGGAACAGGAGCCAGUCCAAUAGACAAAGACCAUGCAGACGGUGUUGUCAAAAUUCAUGAGACUACCUUUUUCCUCUUGUCUGAAGCAUACUGGAUUACGAAAGUCAGACGUAGUUCACCGUUGCCCCCGAGGACUCAACCAGUCCAGGUCGAGGAAGAAGUGGCGAAGUUCCGGAUGGAGACCGAGGGGACAGGUUCUGGUUUGGCAGGCUUAGUGGAUUUGAGCUGAACUGGCCAGGCAGCGGACCCGUGGAGAUAGUUGGUUGAACCCGAUUGGCGGCAGGCUCCGGAGGUGAGGUUGGCAGGGCAGACGAAGCAGCUGGCUCGUGUAGCGUGGCAGUGGGUGGAGAGAUAAGCUUGGCAGAGGUUCGAGGACAGACUGUGGCUAAGAUCACAAUCUCCUGAGCGCCUCAACGAAAAAAGAAGAAAGAGAUUCCCUCCUCCUCCUCCAACAGCGUAGUCGAUUACGCCUUAUAUUACCAUGGUACAUUGAAAAGUGUAGAUGACUUGUUAAAAAAUGCCUUCUCGCAAGCAAGAUGUCAAGACGUGAUACAGUUGGAGUUGAGGGGUGAGCAUCUGCAUAGUAACGUCUAAGUUAUCUUACAGGGUGAUGACGAUGUCACAAAUCUGUCUGGUUUUGAAAAACUCCUGCUUUGCAUUGUACAAUCAAACUGGACCUUUAUGUCAGACGGUGAACUAGAAGUGAUUGCACAGGUGGUCCAUAACACUCGUGGUGGCGGUAAAAGAAUGUUGGAAAAAAUGUUAAACAUUAAAUCAUUAUCGUUAAAAAGAAAACGUUUUUUUCUGUACGUCGUACAAAACCCUGAAAAUCAGU